GUGCUCACUUCGGCAGCACACAUACUAAAAUUGGAAUGAUACAGAGAAGAUUAACAUGGCCCCUCUGUGAGGAUGACACACAAAAUCAUGAAGCAUUCCAUAUUUUU